rnacentral:lncRNA from 1 species
UAUUUGAUUCAAUUUAUUUUGCUUCAAUCACUAACAAAAUAUAAAAUAAAUAUAGCCUAAAAAUAUUGUUUUUUUUAUAAAUUUGAGAUCAAAUACAACUAAUUUUUUAUAAGUAUUUUGCUUAUAUGUUUUUGGAUUAUUAUGUUAAAGGGACAAAGUUUUCACCCUUGAACAAGGAUGAUUAAUCUUUGUUAAAGAAUUUGUGGGGCAUCCUCCCAACAGAAUUUUUCUAUACACAUAGAGUAAGAAAUUAAAUGAUAAUUUCUUUUAAUUGCUCAAAAUUUGUUACCAAUUGAUUUUUUUACUCUUUUAUUUUAAUAGAAUUUAUUUUAAACCGAUGACUUGAACUAAACCAUUAUAUAAAUAGUCGUAUCUUAAUUAUUAUUUUCGUAUUUAUAAAACUAAUGGUUUAUCGAGCACAUCAUAUAUAUUAAAAAUAAAUAAAAAAUAAAAAUAUUAUUAUAAAUAUAUUUAUUCAGACUAAUAUACUUUUAAAAUCUAAAUUUUAAUUUAGAUAACAUUUGAUGAAAACAUUCAUUGUUAACGUUCUUUCAAUGUGUUUCAAAUCCGUUUUAUUUAUUAUUUACAUGAAAAUCAAAUUUAUGCUAUAUUAUGAGCAAGAUGUUCAAAUCUAAAUCGAUUUAAAUAAAAUUGUAAAUCGAUUCAAAAAAUCAAAACUUUCAAAAAACUAAAUCAUUUUGGAUAUAUUUGAAUUCUCUUUUAUGAAAAUCGUUCAUAUUGAAUUAAAUUUCAAAUUGAUUUUUCAAAAUCAACCCAAACUAAAUUGGACCAGGUUCAUAUAUUUUAAUAUUUUUUUAUUAAUGUGAUAUAUGUUAGAUUAAUUUAUUACUCAUUGUUAUUUAAUUUGUUUAAGUAUUAUUAGUUGAUCUAUUUUAUUUAUUUUUGAACAUAAUUGAUCAUUCUCAUUUGUAAUUUUAACUUUAAAGAUACUAUUAUUAUGUAUAUCAGUUUAAAUCAAUUAUUUUAUAGUAUUCUCAAUAUUAAUAUUAAUAAACAAAUUAUUUGUAAUUUGAAUAUUUAAAAUCCAAUCCACUAUUUACAUGAUGAUGAAGUAAAUUAUUAUGCUAAUCGGGAGAUUUGAGUCUCCAACAUUUAAUUAUGGGUGGCUAUGGAGUCUAGUUUAGAUUCUAGUUGCCUAAGAAGUUUAUUUGUGUGUAGAUUCUGAUUUUUAAAAUUAUCAUUUUGUUUCACUUGAAUGUGCAUGAUCACAAAAUUUUCAAGAGCAUUAGCAUCCUUUUAUCCUUAAAAACUCAGAGGUACAACCUCUUGUUGUGAGGAGAUUUUCUUGUAAGAAAAAUAUGAAUGACCUCUGCGUCGUGGGUUAUACAUAUUAGAAUAUGAAUUCCCUUUCAGUAAAUUAUUAAAGUAAUUUGCGUCCUCUAGAC